rnacentral:lncRNA from 1 species
GUCAAGUUGGUCGAGCCAUGCUUAGAUUUGAGCAUUCGUUUGUUAGAUAUACUUGGUAUUAUCAUGUUAAUGGUUGGACCUUACUAAGAUUUUUAGUGAAGGUGCCACACGCCUGCUGAAGAGAUGUCUAGGACAAAAUCUAAUUGCUAGAAAUUAUUUGGUGAAAUAAUUGGUUAAGAACAUAUCCAUGGAUGCACUAGGGU